GACGAACGCUGGCGGCGUGCCUAAUACAUGCAAGUAGAACGCACAGUUUAUACCGUAGCUUGCUACACCAUAGACUGUGAGUUGCGAACGGGUGAGUAACGCGUAGGUAACCUGCCUGGUAGCGGGGGAUAACUAUUGGAAACGAUAGCUAAUACCGCAUAAUAUUAAUUAUUGCAUGAUAAUUAAUUGAAAGGUGCAAUUGCACCACUACCAGAUGGACCUGCGUUGUAUUAGCUAGUAGGUGAGGUAACGGCUCACCUAGGCGACGAUACAUAGCCGACCUGAGAGGGUGAUCGGCCACACUGGGACUGAGACACGGCCCAGACUUCUACGGGAGGCAGCAGUAGGGAAACUUCGGCAAUGGACGAAAGGCUGACCGAGCAACGCCGCGUGAGGGAAGAAGGUUUUCGGAUCGUAAAGCUCUGUUGUAAGAGAAGAACGGGUGUGAGAGUGGAAAGUUCACACUGUGACGGUAUCUUACCAGAAAGGGACGGCUAACUACGUG
rnacentral:rRNA from 1 species